CACAGGUGAAGGCAAUUCACCUAUGUGACCGGAAGGGGUAAAGCCUGGCUCCACCUCUCUUAGAUCUAAUUUAAUGGCUGACUGCCACUCUGAAAGGAUCUUUUUCUGGACAUCUUUCCUUUUUGUGUUUGUCUGAGAGCCUUUAUCUUUUGAGUUGGGAAUUAACCUUUCUUGGUUUAUUAUGGUUCAGCACACCACUGAAGAAAAAGGAAGAAAAAAGGAUGGUUGAGAAGGAGAGGAGGUGGAGAAAUCACCAUAGGGGAAGGUGGACUUCUGAAAAUGAAGAGAUGUUAAUAGAAAGGGUGUUCCUGUCAUACAAAACCAGAAAGAUGCACUCACACUGUGCAGUGUUUGGUAUGGACCUAUGUUAAAAAUGUGUUCUCUUUGAAAGCCAAUAAAUGCCAUUUCCUCUCCAUCAUAAUGUGAUCUACUCUAACUUCUAGAACAGGAUUGUCUGCAUGCUUAGCACGAUUUUUUAAGAUUCUUUAUUAUGAUACUCAUUGUUUGCUACUGCUUUCUGUGUGACUCAAGAAUAGCUGCCUAUGUGCCAAUAUAUCUAUUUUGCAUCCUGUCAGCUGCUGUUUUUCUUUGAACACCAUACCAGAAAACAUUCAGCUUUUGUGACCUUUUAUUUUCUAAUAGUACUGGACCAUUUCUCUUCUCAUGUC